rnacentral:rRNA from 1 species
GGGUUGUGAGGUUAAGCGACUAAGCGUACACGGUGGAUGCCCUGGCAGUCAGAGGCGAUGAAGGACGUGCUAAUCUGCGAAAAGCGUCGGUAAGGUGAUAUGAACCGUUACAGCCGGCGAUGUCCGAAUGGGGAAACCCAGUGCAAUUCGUUGCACUAUCGUUAACUGAAUACAUAGGUUAACGAGGCGAACCGGGGGAACUGAAACAUCUAAGUACCCCGAGGAAAAGAAAUCAACCGAGAUUCCCCCAGUAGCGGCGAGCGAACGGGGAGCAGCCCAGAGUCUGAAUCAGCUUGUGUGUUAGUGGAACGGUCUGGAAAGUCCGACGGUACAGGGUGAUAGUCCCGUACACCAAAAUGCACAGGCUGUGAACUCGAAGAGUAGGGCGGGACACGUGGUAUCCUGUCUGAAUAUGGGGGGACCAUCCUCCAAGGCUAAAUACUCCUGACUGACCGAUAGUGAACCAGUACCGUGAGGGAAAGGCGAAAAGAACCCCGGCGAGGGGAGUGAAAAAGAACCUGAAACCGUGUACGUACAAGCAGUGGGAGCACCUUCGGGUGUGACUGCGUACCUUUUGUAUAAUGGGUCAGCGACUUAUAUUCUGUAGCAAGGUUAACCGUAUAGGGGAGCCGCAGGGAAACCGAGUCUUAACUGGGCGUUAAGUUGCAGGGUAUAGACCCGAAACCCGGUGAUCUAGCCAUGGGCAGGUUGAAGGUUGGGUAACACUAACUGGAGGACCGAACCGACUAAUGUUGAAAAAUUAGCGGAUGACUUGUGGCUGGGGGUGAAAGGCCAAUCAAACCGGGAGAUAGCUGGUUCUCCCCGAAAGCUAUUUAGGUAGCGCCUCGUGAAUUCAUCUUCGGGGGUAGAGCACUGUUUCGGCUAGGGGGUCAUCCCGACUUACCAACCCGAUGCAAACUACGAAUACCGAAGAAUGUUAUCACGGGAGACACACGGCGGGUGCUAACGUCCGUCGUGAAGAGGGAAACAACCCAGACCGCCAGCUAAGGUCCCAAAGUCACAGUUAAGUGGGAAACGAUGUGGGAAGGCACAGACAGCCAGGAUGUUGGCUUAGAAGCAGCCAUCAUUUAAAGAAAGCGUAAUAGCUCACUGGUCGAGUCGGCCUGCGCGGAAGAUGUAACGGGGCUAAACUGUGCACCGAAGCUGCGGCAGCGACACUAUGUGUUGUUGGGUAGGGGAGCGUUCUGUAAGCCUGCGAAGGUGGCCUGUGAGGGUUGCUGGAGGUAUCAGAAGUGCGAAUGCUGACAUAAGUAACGAUAAUGCGGGUGAAAAGCCCGCACGCCGGAAGACCAAGGGUUCCUGUCCAACGUUAAUCGGGGCAGGGUGAGUCGACCCCUAAGGCGAGGCCGAAAGGCGUAGUCGAUGGGAAACAGGUUAAUAUUCCUGUACUUGGUGUUACUGCGAAGGGGGGACGGAGAAGGCUAUGUUAGCCGGGCGACGGUUGUCCCGGUUUAAGCAUGUAGGCGGAGGUUCCAGGUAAAUCCGGUACCUUAUUAACGCUGAGGUGUGAUGACGAGGCACUACGGUGCUGAAGUAACAAAUGCCCUGCUUCCAGGAAAAGCCUCUAAGCAUCAGGUAACAUUGAAUCGUACCCCAAACCGACACAGGUGGUCAGGUAGAGAAUACCAAGGCGCUUGAGAGAACUCGGGUGAAGGAACUAGGCAAAAUGGUGCCGUAACUUCGGGAGAAGGCACGCUGAUAUGUAGGUGAAGCCCCUGCGGGUGGAGCUGAAAUCAGUCGAAGAUACCAGCUGGCUGCAACUGUUUAUUAAAAACACAGCACUGUGCAAACACGAAAGUGGACGUAUACGGUGUGACGCCUGCCCGGUGCCGGAAGGUUAAUUGAUGGGGUUAUCCGUAAGGAGAAGCUCUUGAUCGAAGCCCCGGUAAACGGCGGCCGUAACUAUAACGGUCCUAAGGUAGCGAAAUUCCUUGUCGGGUAAGUUCCGACCUGCACGAAUGGCGUAAUGAUGGCCAGGCUGUCUCCACCCGAGACUCAGUGAAAUUGAACUCGCUGUGAAGAUGCAGUGUACCCGCGGCAAGACGGAAAGACCCCGUGAACCUUUACUAUAGCUUGACACUGAACAUUGAGCCUUGAUGUGUAGGAUAGGUGGGAGGCUUUGAAGCGUGGACGCCAGUCUGCGUGGAGCCAACCUUGAAAUACCACCCUUUAAUGUUUGAUGUUCUAACGUUGGCCCCUGACCGGGGUUGCGGACAGUGUCUGGUGGGUAGUUUGACUGGGGCGGUCUCCUCCCAAAGAGUAACGGAGGAGCACGAAGGUUAGCUAAUCCUGGUCGGACAUCAGGAGGUUAGUGCAAUGGCAUAAGCUAGCUUGACUGCGAGCGUGACGGCGCGAGCAGGUGCGAAAGCAGGUCAUAGUGAUCCGGUGGUUCUGAAUGGAAGGGCCAUCGCUCAACGGAUAAAAGGUACUCCGGGGAUAACAGGCUGAUACCGCCCAAGAGUUCAUAUCGACGGCGGUGUUUGGCACCUCGAUGUCGGCUCAUCACAUCCUGGGGCUGAAGUAGGUCCCAAGGGUAUGGCUGUUCGCCAUUUAAAGUGGUACGCGAGCUGGGUUUAGAACGUCGUGAGACAGUUCGGUCCCUAUCUGCCGUGGGCGCUGGAGAAUUGAGGGGGGCUGCUCCUAGUACGAGAGGACCGGAGUGGACGCAUCACUGGUGUUCGGGUUGUCAUGCCAAUGGCAUUGCCCGGUAGCUAAAUGCGGAAGAGAUAAGUGCUGAAAGCAUCUAAGCACGAAACUUGCCCCGAGAUGAGUUCUCCCUGAGACUUUAAGUCUCCUGAAGGAACGUUAAAGACGAUGACGUUGAUAGGUCGGGUGUGUAAGCGUAGCGAUACGUUGAGCUAACCGAUACUAAUGAACCGUGAGGCUUAACCUUACAACGCCGAAGGUGUUU